rnacentral:rRNA from 1 species
AAGGAAGAUAAUGACGGUACUUGAGGAGGAAGCCCCGGCUAACUACGUGCCAGCAGCCGCGGUAAUACGUAGGGGGCUAGCGUUAUCCGGAUUUACUGGGCGUAAAGGGGGCGUAGGCGGUCUUUCAAGUCAGGAGUGAAAGGCUACGGCUCAACCGUAGUAAGCUCUUGAAACUGGGAGACUUGAGUGCAGGAGAGGAGAGUGGAAUUCCUAG